GAAGUCCGCGACUACCUCUUAGAUCGUUGUAUAAAAAAAAAUAAUAGAGAGAGACAGAAUCACGAGUAUAUUUAAUGAGAUACUGGGGGGAGCAGGGUAGAAGAAAUUAAAGGAUGAUAAAUAAUAAAAUGGAAGAGUACUCAUCAUCAACAACAUUAAAAGAGAAGAUAUUGGAUGUUUACAAUAAGAAGCCAUGCCGCAAGUUCUUUGAAGAAACAGUGAGGGCACUUUUCAAGUGUUUGGGUGUUGAGGCUUCUUCUUCACCUGCAGAAACCUCGCGCGGAAUCGUAUGUGCGGAAAACCCACCUUUAAGCACAGGGAGUGGUGGUCAAAUUAAUUGAUCAACUCUUAAUUACCACAAGCCUGCAUGAUACGGAGUAUGGACAAUCUGGAAGCCAGAGUUUUCAAUCAUGUUUGUCAAAAGUUUUAUUUUUCACAAAUUACAACAGUGAAGAGAACUAGUCCAUUAUACCAUGUCUGUAAUAUAGAUUCGACCAUCAAUGCAAAGAGAUCUUACUUCUAUAUGAGAAA